rnacentral:lncRNA from 10 species
GAUGUGUUACAACUUGUCCACAUACCUUCACAAAUCAGAAAAGAACUAAAUAGGAUUAUAUCAACAUUUGCACUCUAUGUACCUAUUCUGAAGAAUAACACAGGAAAGAGAUUACUUGGAAGAGACAAGAUCUUUCUAUGUUGCCCAGACUGGUCUGAAACUCCUGGACUCAAAACAUAUGAAUAUCCAGCCCUGGAAGCUAAAAACAAGCUUUGUGCCCAAAAAAAGUUUAUAUUUUUGAUUUUUCUACAACUAAAUGGAACAGGGUUUAACUGAGAACAGUUUUCAAACACAAGUCUUAGAGAAGAUAAGGAUUACAGGCGUGAGCCACCGUGCUCUGCUGGACAUCAUUUAGCAUAUAUGACAAGGUAACUGACGAAGGACAAU